UCGGACGGUGACGGGCUCGUCUCUCCCGUGCAAUCGGAUCGCAGCUUCUUGGCUUGUCGAGAAAGGUCCUCAUCCUCCUGCUGUGAGUUGCCAUCCCAAAUACGCCCACCGAAUUGUGAGCUCUCACGAUUUCUUCUCAAGCCUUCUGAUCCUAAAUCCGGCCUCUGUGAACCUCUCCCGCUCCAAGGAACGCUUAGGCAGCAUCUAACGACUUCGCGACUCGCAAUCAAUGAGGGCAGCCGCCACAACCGUAGCCGGACGGAGACGCCGUAACACGUCCAUGCCGGGACUUCGUCGUCCUCCCCCGUUGCUCCCACGCGUCCAGCACGAAGCACACCUCGCGAAUCUCCCGACCGCCAAAUCCCCAGGUCUGUCGAGUGAUUCCAUCUGCUUCCUCAUCCCCAAGUCACGAAUCCAUCUGAAUACCCAAGCGAUUCCAUCAGGUUCCCUAAGUCAUGAAUCCAUCUGAACUCGUGUGAAUCCAUGUGGUUCCCCAAAUCACGAAUCCAUAUGAGGUAUGUACACGUUCGUCCAGUGUGAGAUUUGUUUGUAGAGUCAAGAUGCAAAGGGCACGAGAUUGAUCGGUGGCGGAGAGACCCGAGUACAUCGGUGGUUGCGACGGCAGGGGAUCCUGCUAUGGGCUCCUCAGGCUGCACCCACCGGAGAUUUGCCUGUUCUCGCUUCUACCUUCCAGUGAGGCCAAGCAAGGUGAUUUUCCUUUCUUCCCCUUUUGAAGUUCUGAUAGCCCUCUCUUCCAGUUGAAAGGUACUUGAAUUAUUAAUGACUUUGAUGCUUGUGAUCGGAUCUGUGUCACUCGAUCUCUGGUUUGUUGUUUUCGUUAUGGUGAUAUUGUUGUGCCUACCCGUUCAUUGAUUCAAACUUCUUUGAGCACAAAUCUUCGCAAAAAAAUGGAAAUCCAAAAGAAAAAAAAAUCCGGAGUAAAUGUAUGAGUUUCAAAGUCUUUAUCUUACCUCAGUUUGCAGUGCUAUGUAUAAAUACGCUUCACUCUACAUACACCAAACAACCCAUCCUAUGAAAAUCACUGUGAGGAAGAACAAUCUGUAUGUAACUCUAUGUUUAGUUUAAUACAAGGCUCGUAUGAGAAAAUAUAUAAGACUUAGUGCCCAUAAAUCUAUCCUGAGCCCCUAAAUAGCUGCAUCCUUCUCUAGGUACAUUACAGAAAAAAUAGAUGCUUCAACAACCAAUGGUUGGUAACUGAUAGUUAUCUCCCAUGAACGGUCACAAUUGUCAAAACAAUAACAAAAUAGAUUAGAUUUGUAUAACAAAUACCUUUAAAUGGAUUUAUACUUGAGGCACACCUAAUAAAUUUUAUCAGACAACCCAAAUCUAUAAUCUAAAAUAUAGAAUCUGAGUUAUAGACUGUUUAGUUUUAUAAAUCUGGUAGAAUGUGAUUUCCUCCUCAUUAGUUAUGAGUAGAAUAUUAUAGUUUUCUUUCUUUUCUAUGACCAUGUGCUUUGUGGGUAGGUACAAAUUGUUGGUUGACACUUAUGGACCAACUUUCUAUGUAUGGGGUUUCCGAGAGCAAAAAUCAAUCGAUAAAGACUAAGGUGCUAGAGUUGGUUGACAUUUACCAUUUGCCUUUAGAUGGUUGGCUUGCAAUGGGUGUUCCAACAGUCAAAUAGUAAAUAUCAACCAACUCAAGCAUCUUAUCCUUAUUUCAAGCUAGAAUGUUCCAUCAGUUUUUCCCCUUCUGAAUAAAAAGUAAUUGUCGUGUACUCCGCCACCAUCAAAAAAUCCCUUUGCAUCAAGGUAAAAUCUACAAAAGGAAAAUUCAUGAAGCCUUAGUUGAAUCGUAAAAAAAAUAAUUCUGUAACGAAGGUACGACACACUACUAAGAAAACUUUGUACCGUGUCGAUAAAUAAUAAUUUUUCCCAUCUGGUGGAGUAUUAGCAUUUAGAAGCGCUGCAGUGACAAUGCAGUAGUAGAGAUCAUGGUGAAGCCCAGCAGCACUAGCAAGGUAAUUGUCAUGAACGCAUGGCACGACGAUACUGGUGAGCUUGGAGACAAGAGUAGCCAAGCUCAGAGGUGGUCGAUGCCGGAUACUUGCAUAUCCACUCUUCUGCAGAGGUGCUUACUUCUGGUUCUCCAUGACACAAUUGGGGCAUCAGUUUCUGGUCGCAUGCUAGGUGCUCGAGCAAAUUCCCAUGUGAGCAGUCGUUUUGCUUUGUUACCUAUUCUUAUAGAUCUAUGAUUGUUUGAAUUUAAUACAUCAUAUACAAUUCUGUAACUUAAAAUGGUGUAUACAAUUUGUUGACAGACUAUUUAAUGGUGAUAUUUCUUCAUACUGUAGUUUUAGCUUUCUGCAGUUUAGUUAUGCUGUUUACAAACUGUUGUCCAUCGAAAUGGAACUAUUGAAAUAAAAGCUUCCAUUAUAAAAAAAAUGACAAGUGUUGACAAGGUGUUCAAGCUUACGUUUAUGUACCUAUCUCUAACUAUAAACUUUAUUGAUUUAGUGUUUUCAACCACUCCCAUGAUUGGCUUAUAAUUGACAAUUUGUUUUACUGCAUUGUUUAUUAUAAAGACACCCGUUUCAGCGAAAAAGAUUCAGGUUAAAAGUAAUGAUGUAGAGAGCUCAUUAAUAAAGAUGUUACAAUAAUUACAUCGCAAAAACAUUGGUAUGAGAUAAUCAAAAUGAAGAAAAAGCUAGCUCUAACCUCUUAAUGAUUUAGAAACCCAUUCGAGAGUUGCGCCAGUAACAAGCUUAUAUGUUUGUAGAAAAAUAGUAGUACCUUCUAGAUCUGUAAUAUUUGAUAUAGCAAUAUAGCAUAUUGGACAAAUAAAUUUUAUCCCAUUAAUUGGGUUGAUAUUUUCUAAAUUUGUAUGUACAUUUACUUUUUUAUUUACACACUCGAAUACAAUUUUUGGUAUUUUAAUAUCCUACUUUUAUUAUAAUACUCAACGUUCAUAUGAACUUAAUCUACGAGGGUAAGCAGGCGCGGCAAAGCUGCGCCGCUUUUCUAGUUAUAGUCUAUUUAGAACAAAAUCAUCACUUAACUAACCAAUAGCAUGCAUUAUUUGUUCAUUUAAUCAAAUAAGAAAUCCACCUGGCAUAUGGGCCAGAAAACAUUGUUCCUUAUCCUCCCGAUAGUUCCAUCGUCCUCAUCCCCUCGUUCAGUUUCGAUGUGGCGCGGACGAGCUCCAGAGCGGAUGCAAGCUGCUGCGGCCGGGGCGAGUGGGAGCGAGGCGAGCUGCCGCUGUGCCGAGUCGCGGCGUGGGCGAGCUGCCGCUGGGCCAGGUCGCGGCGGGGGCGAGCUCGAGCUGCUGAAGCACUGGUGCGAUAGGUCGCCAGCGCGAGCUGCUGCCGUGGCGGCGACCAUAUACAGUGGUCCUCCGUGCAAACCGCAGCCACCAUCAUGUUCCACUCGUCAAGGGGGUUCCAUUUUCAUGGUUCAUCAAGACCAUUGA